ensembl:lncRNA
GUAAGGAACUCUAAGUCUGCUGAACAGUGGCUGUACGUGUCUUAGGGGUGUCCAAAUUCAUAGGCUGCAUCCCCCUGAGGAUCCUGGCCUUUGCGGUCUACGUGGGCUGGGUCCUCAGGAGGCUAGGUAGGCGGAAGUGAGCGGCUGUGAAAUUGGACGGUCUAGCCUUCUCGAUCUGUUCCCGCCCUUACUUCUGCGUAUUUCCGGUCGCUAGCACCACAGUGCAAAAAAACGUUACAAAAAUGGACCCAGAAAUGUCGCCGGUAAGUUUUACACCUCAGGCUCAUCAGAGACAAUCAUAUCCAGACAAGACCAUUGUACUGCAGGAUUAACCUGAGUGUCCCAGUCCUGGACCGUUUUUUAACCAGGAAGAUGCAAGGCCUGAUUUUCGGCUAAGCAGGGAGUCCCUGGCAGUGUUGCUAAAUCUCCUGAACCAAGAUCGGCGGCAUGGUUGUGGUGCCACAAUUGAGAUCCUGGUGUUACUUUUCUGGUUGGCAAGUGGAGCAUCAUACAGGGUGGUCUCAAGAGUGUUUGGGGUGCCUUGUUCUACUGUCCACCACAUCGUCCGCCGAGUCACAAAAGAGGUGGUGGCCAUUCGCCACCAUGUCAUCCACAACCAAACGACCCCAGAGGACCUGGAGCUAGUGGGUUUGCAGGGCUGGCACGCCACAGAGCCUUUCUGAAAGCGGUGGGUGCAAUCGAUGGCUGCCACAUCCACAUCAGGUGUCCAAGCAACCCUGAUGGUCAGUGCUAUAGAAACAGGAAACUGUUUCCAUCUGUCAAUGGAAAUUUGUACUUAGUAGUCAGUAUAAGCUUUUAAUGAUACAGGGAGUGCAGAAUUAUUAGGAGAGUUGUAUUUUUGAGGAAUAAUGUUAUUAUUGAACAACAACCAUGUUCUCAAUGAACCCAAAAAACUCAUUAAUAUCAAAGCUGAAUGUUUUUGGAAGUAGUUUUUAGUUUUAGCUAUUUUAGGGGGAUAUCUGUGUGUGCAGGUGACUAUUACUGUGCAUAAUUAUUAGGCAACUUAACAAAACUUAACCCAAACCAGUACUCCACCUCCACCUUGCUGGCGUCUGAGUCGGACUGGAGCUCUCUGCCCUUUACCAAUCCAGCCACGGGCCCAUCCAUCUGGC